rfam:Dipodomys ordii contig_11413, whole genome shotgun sequence.
AGGACUGUGGCUCAGUGGUAGAGUGCUUGCCUAGCAUGCAUGAAACUCUUGGUUCGAUUCCUUAGUGCCA